rnacentral:rRNA from 1 species
AGACCCGAAACCCGGUGAUCUAGCCAUGGGCAGGUUGAAGGUUGGGUAACACUAACUGGAGGACCGAACCGACUAAUGUUGAAAAAUUAGCGGAUGACCUGUGGCUGGGGGUGAAAGGCCAAUCAAACCGGGAGAUAGCUGGUUCUCCCCGAAAGCUAUUUAGGUAGCGCCUCGUGAAUUCAUCUCCGGGGGUAGAGCACUGUUUCGGCUAGGGGGCCAUCCCGGCUUACCAACCCGAUGCAAACUGCGAAUACCGGAGAAUGUUAUCACGGGAGACACACGGCGGGUGCUAACGUCCGUCGUGAAGAGGGAAACAACCCAGACCGCCAGCUAAGGUCCCAAAGUCAUGGUUAAGUGGGAAACGAUGUGGGAAGGCCCAGACAGCCAGGAUGUUGGCUUAGAAGCAGCCAUCAUUUAAAGAAAGCGUAAUAGCUCACUGGUCGAGUCGGCCUGCGCGGAAGAUGUAACGGGGCUAAACCAUGCACCGAAGCUGCGGCAGCGACGCUUAUGCGUUGUUGGGUAGGGGAGCGUUCUGUAAGCCUGUGAAGGUGUGUCGUGAGGCAUGCUGGAGGUAUCAGAAGUGCGAAUGCUGACAUAAGUAACGAUAAAGCGGGUGAAAAGCCCGCUCGCCGGAAGACCAAGGGUUCCUGUCCAACGUUAAUCGGGGCAGGGUGAGUCGACCCCUAAGGCGAGGCCGAAAGGCGUAGUCGAUGGGAAACGGGUUAAUAUUCCCGUACUUGGUGUUACUGCGAAGGGGGGACGGAGAAGGCUAUG